rnacentral:lncRNA from 1 species
ACGGAUUAGAACAGAGAUCUAACCCUUAUCCCGCAAUAAAACAGUGAAACUAACAAAACCAGGAUAAAACUCACAAAUUUGAUGCUAAAAACUUACAAAUCCACGGGGAAAACGUGUAGAACGAAUGAAAGAGAGUCUCUGGAGCUCACAGAACCAAAAAUUUUGGAAAACGAUUGAGUUUUGAGAAAGAUCGAAGCGUUAUACCCGGUUAUAUCCCGCUCGGCCGCAGACCUUGUACCGGUACACGGGUUCUUGUUCCGGUACAAGGACCAAAAUGUGAAAAAAAAAUUUUGAAAAAUAUACUUUAAAAAUCCAUCACAUUUAAAUUAAAUUCACAUAGUUAAGGCUUUUACUCCAAAAAUUAUUAAAAUGAAAAUAAAAUAUUAUAAAAUUUCAAAACACAUCAAAACAUCAAAAUUUCAAAAUCAAAAAUAAUUUAACGAUUCAAAACCACCAAGAUGUAAGUUGAUGAAAAAUGAUUUUUAGAAAUUCAACAAAAAUUGACACUAAUUUGUCAUAACACGUUCAAAAUAGAGAUUUAACCAAUAUGAUACCAGGGGUGGCUCUUUGAGCAUCUUUUUCAAACUAACACCUUAUUCCUCCGAAAAUUCUGAAAUGUUUAUAUUUUUCCAACCUUUUUCGGCUUUUUCAAUUAAAUACCAUGUGGUAGCUUCACACACUUGCCGGACGACCGGAGUGGUAGCUCUUUCCUAAUGUGGUGGUAGUUUUCACACUCCUUUUAGGAUGUAACUCUUUCCACAUCUUUUACACAUAGGAGUUUCUUUUUCUCUUUUUCUCCUUUAUUUUUAAAUUUAAAAACUCCCCCUUAAUUAGGCAAUCUCACAAUUGAAAAUAAUUUUGACGAAUUUUAGUCAAUUAGAGAAUACCCAUUCAUCAUAUCCAACACUCACAACCAAGAUGAAUUAAUCAUCAAAAAAUCAAAUUUGAUUUCAAAAUUUUGAUGAAUUUAUGCAAUAAGAAAUCAUAUAAUAUAUUAUUGUCAACAUAAUACAUAGUGGAGUAAAGACGAUAAUUAAUAUGAAUUUACCUUAAUAUGAUUUUGAAGAUAAAACCCGUUUAAACAAUCCUCUUUUUUUUUCUUUUUUUUUUUUUUAACUUUCUCUCCAAAAACGAUUCUCAAUCAUCUCCUUUCCUCAAAAUAAUUUUUAACCAAACAAAAUUCAAAACACCAAGAAUCAUUUAAACAUGUAAUGCAAUGAAUAAAAUUAUGCAACAAGCACCUAUCAAAGCAUUACACUAAAGAUCGAAAAAUGACUAAGACGAGGAGCAAGGAAAGAUAUCACCUUU